UAGAGGAGAUGAAUAAUGAAAGAAGAAAGGCACUUUAUAAAGUAUCUUUUCAAAACAUCAUCACCACAGAUCUUCACAACUGCCGCAUGAGAUAAAGAUCCACCUUGUCUGUGAGUCUGAGUGAAAUGAGCAACCCUGAGCAUCUUCUCUGGCAGCAAACAUCCCCUGGGUCACCCAAGAAGGCGGGACAUGAGGAUUGUGCAAAAACAGAACAUCCUUGCAUUCUGACCUUGAGGUGGGAGUGACAAGGAUGGUGGAAACUGGCAAGUGCACUUUGGAAAUACUCCAAUUCAUCCAGGAUCUGAGUUUGAGAAGUCCCACCAGCAAGGGAGUGACCACAGAGAUCUCAUCUUGGCACAGGAAAGGAAGAAUUCCAGGCUUGGGUUCCAAGACCAUGGCAAGAGCCUGGGCACUCCUGAUUUCUAAAUGCGUAGACAUAAGCUUGGAAUUACACUGCUUUUGCUGAAAAGACUGCUUGAAAUAAGAUAGUGGAGGAAGAGGAAAGGAUAAUUAGGAAUUUCAAUGAUCUAUAUAUAUGUAUAUAUAUAUUAUACAAACUUUAUCUCCAUCUGUAUCUUUAUCUCAAUACAA